GGGGAAUUUUGGACAAUGGGGGCAACCCUGAUCCAGCCAUGCCGCGUGCGGGAAGAAGGCCUUCGGGUUGUAAACCGCUUUUAGUCGGGAAGAAAAGGCGCGGGUGAAUACCCCGCGUUUUUGACGGUACCGGCGGAAUACGCACCGGCUAACUACGUGCCAGCAGCCGCGGUAAUACGUAGGCAGCAAGCGUUGUUCGGAGUUACUGGGCGUAAAGAGUGCGUAGGCGGUUUUCUAAGUUUGGUGUGAAAUCUCCCGGCUUAACUGGGAGGGUGCGCCGAAAACUGGAAGGCUUGAGGAUGGGAGAGGCAUGCGGAAUUCCUGGUGUAGCGGUGAAAUGCGUAGAUAUCAGGAGGAACACCUGCGGUGUAGACAGCAUGCUGGACCAUUUCUGACGCUGAGGCACGAAAGCGUGGGUAGCAAAC
rnacentral:rRNA from 1 species